rnacentral:lncRNA from 1 species
UAAUAUUUGACUGGGUGAGAAUUUAAAACCAUUGACUAUUAAAAUACUAGGCUAGUCAAAUUAUCAUUGAGCGCGUUUACAUGCAUGUUCUUAAGCCGAUUAUGCUUAAUAAACCGAAAACGCACGUGGUCAGGUAAACGCGGUAACCCGUUUUCUUUUAUCGGAGAUAGGUCAUAAACGGCGUAAGCAUAAACCGGUCGACACGGGUAGUUUUUUGCCUCUUACUCCGAUUUUGCGUGGCAUGUCGACGCAAUGACUCGCUUUCUGUUGGUUUAUUAAAGUGCGCAUCUGUGGUGCGUGACUGGAACGCAUGGUUAGGGCAGAUUUAAGCGCAUAUACACAGAGCAAACAUCUUGCAGUAAAGAAAGAAGGAAAUGUAUCACAAAAGCAGACUCUUCCGUGACUCAGAAAAUGAUAAAAAAUGUGUUAUCUCGUGCAGCAGAAGUAGAAGUGGUUCAGUCAAAAUGCUGUAUUUAUAGCUGUAAAUUUCUCGCUGACAUGUUGCAAGCUUUAUUUAACAUCACAACUGACAAAUGUAUGGAAUACUCGGAGUCAGAUACACAAACGAUUAUAUUUCGACAUCAAUACAGGAAAAUAACCUGAUUUAUUAAUGAAGUCAUGUAAACGCAGCUACUUGUUUUGUUAGGUUACUGAUGUGCAUGUAAACGGGGAAACUGGUUAUUUUAAUAAGCUGAUAUUUGUGCGUUAUCAGCUUACUGGUGUGCAUUGAAACGUGCUCAUUGUGACUUUUCACUUACAGGCACUCAGAGAAGGACCCAUCUGAGGGCAUUGAGGAUAGUAGCUUCAAGAGACAUAAAAAGAAGAAGAAGAAGAAAAAGAAGAGGAGGGAGGAUGAGGAGAGGCCUCACACUAGGAGAGACUUCGCUCCGAGGCGGGAAGAGCAUGAUUCUAGAGCUAGGAAUGGUGCAGAGAAAGGAAGUCUGCACCACAGCUCUGAGUCCCUUCACAAUGUCCACCGAGACCAUAUGGAGGACCAGCAACAGCUCAGUGGACACAAAGCUAAUGGCCUGAGCUGUUACAGUGGAAGUGAGCUUGAGCAUACUGGGAUGUAUAAAGACCAAUACAAAUAUUUUGAUUAUUCUACCACUGUCAACGGCACAAAGACGCUCUCAAAUGGAAGUGGAGAUGUAUGUCACAGGACCCUUUCAGAUGUUGAAAAAGCCACACAUCCUCACUAAAGACUCUGAAAACCACCCAUGCAAGCAUGUGAAAAACAAAAUCUACAGCUACAGUUCCUGACAUGGUGCUUAACAUUUAGAACAUACUGUAUUUUUACCACGAGAUGAAUUUUAAAGUUUU